AGGAUCCUCUUCGAAUCUGUCUCCUCUGGGUUCUGUGGACCAAGUUAUCUUGGUCGUUUGAUACAAAUAAUGCAGUCAGAAUCUUGGAAAUUGAAAAAAGGGAAGAAUUCUUAGGUCUCACACAGUGGGAAUUCAUCGAAGCAUCCGAGUCGACUCAAAGGAAAACCACCACCACCGCUCCUCUCCGAACAAACGGAUAACGACGGGCCUGCUGGUGGCCGAUCUGAUCCCUGCCACUGUCAUCGCCGGUGGCAGCGAGAGGAAGACAGGCCUGCUGGCCAUGAGGACGAAGGUUACAAAAUCGGCGUUGACGAGUAGAAAGCCCAAGGGUCUGGAGGAUCGGGAGUAAAUUGAUCCAGAGAGCAUCCUUACCCCAAAGAAAGCAGCAUGUUUACGAACUAAACAAUCAGAAAGGUGGGCGGAAUGAGAUCAGAUUAGAUACAAAGCUAGCAGUUUAUUAAUUUAUUUUUUUAGCCUUGUAAAGAAUUAUGAGUUUUUUUUUAUAAGAAUAAUUUUAUUUUCAUCCCCUUUCAUUUUUUUAUUUUUUUAUUUUUUUUAAUUUGUAGCUUUUGUUCUUGGGGUUUCUACUGACUUUGGGUCCGGGUGUGCAGACCGUGGCACCCGUUUGUCUUAUGAGUAUUGGACUUUUGGGUCAUCAAUGCAUCAAGAGUGUUUCGGGCCCA